CUUGCGUGAUCAUCUGCAGGUGUGUACGGAGUGGCAAAGCAUUUAAGCUGCCCAACAUGCAAGGCCCCAGCUGAGGUUGAAAGGGACCCUGACCAACUGGAUUCCUCAGCAAAGCAACUGCUCACAUCUGCAGCAAACCUCAUGGAGCCUGGUCUGGGGAGACAGGUGGUGUUCCUCCAGAAAAGCAGCACAGGCCACCUGACUACCUGCUGGGCCCUCCCCAAGGGGGCUUUCCACCUAUGAACUGUUAGGCAGGAAAGAAGCCACAAGCAGGUGCUAUCCCAAAUGCAAAACCACGUUUCCCUGAACGUCCUCUCACAGGGCGGUAAGGUAGGGAGGAGGAGGGAUCCUGUCGCAGUCACACUCAGAGACACAUGCAGAGACAGAUGACUGUUUGGCACAGGCUGAGAGAAAGGUGUGAGGCUUUUCCUUUAUGCUUCCAGGUGUUUGGGGGAAUGCAUAUAUACUUUUUGUAGAAAAA